GACGAACGCUGGCGGCGCGCCUAACACAUGCAAGUCGAACGAGCAAAGAGGAGCUUGCUUCUCUGAGCGAGUGGCGAACGGGUGAGUAACGCGUGAGGAACCUGCCUCAAAGAGGGGGACAACGGUUGGAAACGACUGCUAAUACCGCAUAAGCCCACAGGUCGGCAUCGACCAGAGGGAAAAGGAGCAAUCCGCUUUGAGAUGGCCUCGCGUCCGAUUAGCUAGUUGGUGAGGUAAUGGCCCACCAAGGCGACGAUCGGUAGCCGGACUGAGAGGUUGAACGGCCACAUUGGGACUGAGACACGGCCCAGACUCCUACGGGAGGCAGCAGUGGGGAAUAUUGCACAAUGGGGGAAACCCUGAUGCAGCGACGCCGCGUGGAGGAAGAAGGUCUUCGGAUUGUAAACUCCUGUUGUUGAGGAAGAUAAUGACGGUACUCAACAAGGAAGUGACGGCUAACUACGUGCCAGCAGCCGCCGUAA
rnacentral:rRNA from 1 species